rnacentral:ncRNA from 1 species
UAACAUGAUAAUGCAUAAGAAGAUGACAGCAGUGGGGCAUCCAAAGUCAAAUGAAAUAGUGAGUGUGCUAGAGACAUAGUCCUUCAGGGGAGUGCUGGCACGAGAGGAAAACAGUUCGGCAAAUCCUUGAAACGGAAACGCUUGAAGUCAGUCGCGUCCGCCAGAAUUCAGCCUUCGGGUGUACUUUCUGGUGGACGGGCCAGCAUCACUUUCAAUCAUCGGACAAGGUCGAGAGGAAUGUGGCACCUUCGGGUGUGUUAUAGCCUCUUGUCGUAUACGGUGACUGGGAGGGAGGACCGCCUUUGUAGGAUGCUGGCGUAAUGGCUUUAAACGACCCGUCUUGAAACACGGACCAAGGAGUCUAACAUGCCCGCGAGUGUUUGGGUGGAAAACCCAUGCGCGUAAUGAAAGUGAAAGUUGGGAAGGCUGUCGCGGCCUGCACCGACGCCCGGACUCGAGAUUUAUCU